rnacentral:rRNA from 1 species
UACAGAGGGUGCAAGCGUUAAUCGGAAUUACUGGGCGUAAAGCGUGCGCAGGCGGUUUGGUAAGACAGAUGUGAAAUCCCCGGGCUUAACCUGGGAAUUGCAUUUGUGACUGCCCGGCUAGAGUGUGUCAGAGGGGGGUGGAAUUCCACGUGUAGCAGUGAAAUGCGUAGAUAUGUGGAGGAAUACCGAUGGCGAAGGCAGCCCCCUGGGAUAACACUGACGCUCAUGCACGAAAGCGUGGGGAGCAAACAGG